rnacentral:rRNA from 1 species
GUCGACGGUGAAGCGGGUGCUUGCACUCGUGGAUCAGUGGCGAACGGGUGAGUAACACGUGAGUAACCUGCCCUCCACUCUGGGAUAAGCGCUGGAAACGGCGUCUAAUACUGGAUACGACCGACCCUCGCAUGGGGUGUUGGUGGAAAGAUUUAUCGGUGGUGGAUGGACUCGCGGCCUAUCAGCUUGUUGGUGGGGUAAUGGCCUACCAAGGCGACGACGGGUAGCCGGCCUGAGAGGGCGACCGGCCACACUGGGACUGAGACACGGCCCAGACUCCUACGGGAGGCAGCAGUGGGGAAUAUUGCACAAUGGGCGAAAGCCUGAUGCAGCGACGCCGCGUGAGGGAUGACGGCCUUCGGGUUGUAAACCUCUUUCAGCAGGGAAGAAGCUUUUGUGACGGUACCUGCAGAAGAAGCACCGGCUAACUACGUGCCAGCAGCCGCGGUAAUACGUAGGGUGCGAGCGUUGUCCGGAAUUAUUGGGCGUAAAGAGCUUGUAGGCGGUUUGUCGCGUCUGCUGUGAAAAUUCAGGGCUUAACCCUGGACGUGCAGUGGGUACGGGCAGACUAGAGUGUGGUAGGGGAGACUGGAAUUCCUGGUGUAGCGGUGGAAUGCGCAGAUAUCAGGAGGAACACCGAUGGCGAAGGCAGGUCUCUGGGCCAUUACUGACGCUGAGAAGCGAAAGCAUGGGGAGC